ACUCCUACGGGAGGCAGCAGUGGGGAAUAUUGCACAAUGGGCGCAAGCCUGAUGCAGCCAUGCCGCGUGUAUGAAGAAGGCCUUCGGGUUGUAAAGUACUUUCAGCAGUGAGGAAGGUGGAUGCGUUAAUAGCGUAUUCAUUUGACGUUAGCUGCAGAAGAAGCACCGGCUAACUCCGUGCCAGCAGCCGCGGUAAUACGUAGGUCCCGAGCGUUAUCCGGAAUUAUUGGGCGUAAAGAGCAUGUAGGCGGUCUAUUAAGUCUGGUGUGAAAUCUAGUGGCUCAACCACUAAAUUGCAUUGGAAACUGAUGGACUAGAAUACUGGAGGGGCAAGUGGAAUUCCAUGUGUAGCGGUGGAAUGCGUAGAUAUAUGGAGGAACACCAAUGGCGAAGGCAGCUUGCUGGACAGUAAUUGACGCUGAGAUGCGAAAGCGUGGGUAGCAAACAGGAUUAGAUACCCUGGUA
rnacentral:rRNA from 1 species